rnacentral:rRNA from 1 species
GAUGAACGCUGGCGGCGUGCCUAAUACAUGCAAGUCGAGCGAACGGACGAGAAGCUUGCUUCUCUGAUGUUAGCGGCGGACGGGUGAGUAACACGUGGAUAACCUACCUAUAAGACUGGGAUAAAUUCGGGAAACCGGAGCUAAUACCGGAUAAUAUUUUGAACGGCAUGGUUCAAAAGUGAAAGACGGUCUUGCUGUCACUUAUAGAUGGAUCCGCGCUGCAUUAGCUAGUUGGUAAGGUAACGGCUUACCAAGGCAACGAUGCAUAGCCGACCUGAGAGGGUGAUCGGCCACACUGGAACUGAGACACGGUCCAGACUCCUACGGGAGGCAGCAGUAGGGAAUCUUCCGCAAUGGGCGAAAGCCUGACGGAGCAACGCCGCGUGAGUGAUGAAGGUCUUCGGAUCGUAAAACUCUGUUAUUAGGGAAGAACAUAUGUGUAAGUAACUGUGCACAUCUUGACGGUACCUAAUCAGAAAGCCACGGCUAACUACGUG